AGAGUUUGAUCAUGGCUCAGAAUGAACGUUGGCGGCGUGCCUAACACAUGCAAGUCGAGCGAGAAAGUUCCUUCGGGAAUGAGUAGAGCGGCGGACGGGUGAGUAACACGUAAGAAUCUGCCCUAUAGUGAGGAAUACCUUUGAGAAAUUGAGGUUAAUACUGCAUAAGUCCCUGCGGGGAGAAAGACGUCUUUUAUGUC
rnacentral:rRNA from 1 species